rnacentral:rRNA from 1 species
GAGUUUGAUCCUGGCUCAGAUUGAACGCUGGCGGCAUGCCUUACACAUGCAAGUCGAACGGCAGCACGGGAGCAAUCCUGGUGGCGAGUGGCGAACGGGUGAGUAAUAUAUCGGAACGUGCCCAGUAGUGGGGGAUAGCCCGGYGAAAGCCGGAUUAAUACCGCAUACGACCUGAGGGUGAAAGCGGGGGAUCGCAAGACCUCGCGCUAUUGGAGCGGCCGAUAUCAGAUUAGCUAGUUGGUGGGGUAAAGGCCUACCAAGGCUACGAUCUGUAGUUGGUCUGAGAGGACGMCCAGCCACMCUGGGACUGAGACACGGCCCAGACUCCUACGGGAGGCAGCAGUGGGGAAUUUUGGACAAUGGGCGCAAGCCUGAUCCAGCAAUGCCGCGUGCAGGAAGAAGGCCUUCGGGUUGUAAACUGCUUUUGUCAGGGAAGAAAUCUUCUGGGCUAAUMCCCCGGGAGGAUGACGGUACCUGAAGAAUAAGCACCGGCUAACUACGUGCCAGCAGCCGCGGUAAUAC